UAUUGCUACAGACUCGCAAAAAAACACGGUCCAUGUUCUUGCCAAACAGCAUGGGGUAAAAAAUAUUGAGAAGUUUGCUUUGUUGCUUAGCAACCAUUUCCUACAGAAAUAUCAGCAUGUGGUUGCAACUAGAAUUAAUGUAGAGGAGUAUCCAUGGAAACGCAUUGAAGUUAAUGGUGAGAAACAUGUACAUGCAUUCCAGUUUGUUCGAGAUUGUACCAGAGUGUGUGAAGUGACCCAGAAACGUGGAGGUAAAAAACCGUCUCUAACAAUUUCUUCCAUCUGUAUUAG